GAUGAACGCUGGCGGCGUGCCUAAUACAUGCAAGUCGAGCGAACGGACGAGAAGCUUGCUUCUCUGAUGUUAGCGGCGGACGGGUGAGUAACACGUGGAUAACCUACCUAUAAGACUGGGAUAACUUCGGGAAAACGGAGCUAAUACCGGAUAAUAUUUUGAACCGCAUGGUUCAAAAGUGAAAGACGGUCUUGCUGUCACUUAUAGAUGGAUCCGCGCUGCAUUAGCUAGUUGGUAAGGUAACGGCUUACCAAGGCAACGAUGCAUAGCCGACCUGAGAGGGUGAUCGGCCACACUGGAACUGAGACACGGUCCAGACUCCUACGGGAGGCAGCAGUAGGGAAUCUUCCGCAAAGGGCGAAAGCCUGACGGAGCAACGCCGCGUGAGUGAUGAAGGUCUUCGGAUCGUAAAACUCUGUUAUUAGGGAAGAACAUAUGUGUAAGUAACUGUGCACAUCUUGACGGUACCUAAUCAGAAAGCCACGGCUAACUACGUG
rnacentral:rRNA from 1 species